GAUUGAACGCUGGCGGAAUGCUUUACACAUGCAAGUCGAACGGCAGCACGGGGCAACCUGGUGGCGAGUGGCGAACGGGUGAGUAAUAUAUCGGAACGUGCCCAAUCGUGGGGGAUAACGUAGCGAAAGUUACGCUAAUACCGCAUACGAUCUACGGAUGAAAGCGGGGGAUCGCAAGACCUCGCGCGAAUGGAGCGGCCGAUAUCAGAUUAGGUAGUUGGUGGGGUAAAGGCUCACCAAGCCAACGAUCUGUAGCUGGUCUGAGAGGACGACCAGCCACACUGGAACUGAGACACGGUCCAGACUCCUACGGGAGGCAGCAGUGGGGAAUUUUGGACAAUGGGCGCAAGCCUGAUCCAGCCAUUCCGCGUGCAGGAUGAAGGCCUUCGGGUUGUAAACUGCUUUUGUACGGAACGAAACGGUCUGCCCUAAUACGGCAGGCUAAUGACGGUACCGUAAGAAUAAGCACCGGCUAACUCCGUGCCAGCAGCCGCGGUAAUACGGAGGAUCCGAGCGUUAUCCGGAUUUAUUGGGUUUAAAGGGUGCGUAGGUGGAUUGUUAAGUCAGUGGUGAAAGUUUUCAGCUCAACUGAAAAAUUGCCGUUGAAACUGUCGAUCUUGAGUGCAAAUGAGGUAGGCGGAAUGUGUUGUGUAGCGGUGAAAUGCUUAGAUAUAACACAGAACUCCGAUUGCGAAGGCAGCUUACUGGGAUGCAACUGACACUGAUGCACGAAAGCGUGGGUAUCAAACAGGAUUAGAUACCCUGGUAGUCCACGCAGUAAACGAUGAAUACUAGCUGUAUGCGAUACACCGUAUGUGGCACAGCGAAAGCGUUAAGUAUUCCACCUGGGGAGUACGUUCGCAAGAAUGAAACUCAAAGGAAUUGACGGGGGCCCGCACAAGCGGAGGAACAUGUGGUUUAAUUCGAUGAUACGCGAGGAACCUUACCCGGGCUUGAAAUGCAGACGACCGACAGGGAAACUUGUCUUCCAGCAAUGGCGUCUGUGUAGGUGCUGCAUGGUUGUCGUCAGCUCGUGCCGUGAGGUGUCGGCUUAAGUGCCAUAACGAGCGCAACCCUUGCCAUUAGUUGCUAACAGGUUAAGCUGAGAACUCUAAUGGGACUGCCAUCGUAAGAUGCGAGGAAGGUGGGGAUGACGUCAAAUCAGCACGGCCCUUACGUCCGGGGCGACACACGUGUUACAAUGGGUGGUACAGAGGGUUGCUACCUGGUGACAGGAUGCUAAUCUCUUAAAUCCACUCUCAGUUCGGAUCGAAGUCUGCAACUCGACUUCGUGAAGCUGGAUUCGCUAGUAAUCGCGCAUCAGCCAUGGCGCGGUGAAUACGUUCCCGGGCCU
rnacentral:rRNA from 1 species